AGCAGUCGCCGCGGGAAUACGAAGGGGGCUAGCGUUGUUCGGAUUUACUGGGCGUAAAGCGCACGUAGGCGGACUUUUAAGUCAGGGGUGAAAUCCCGGGGCUCAACCCCGGAACUGCCUUUGAUACUGGAAGUCUUGAGUAUGGUAGAGGUGAGUGGAAUUCCGAGUGUAGAGGUGAAAUUCGUAGAUAUUCGGAGGAACACCAGUGGCGAAGGCGGCUCACUGGACCAUUACUGACGCUGAGGUGCGAAAGCGUGGGGAGCAAACAGGAUUAGAUACCCCGGUAGUCCCUGUCUCUUAUAC
rnacentral:rRNA from 1 species